rnacentral:rRNA from 1 species
UACGCACUGGCCCAGCUGAUUGAUGGUGCUUGCACCUGAUUGACGAUGGAUCACCAGUGAGUGGCGGACGGGUGAGUAACACGUAGGUAACCUGCCCCGGAGCGGGGGAUAACAUUUGGAAACAGAUGCUAAUACCGCAUAACAACAAAAGCCACAUGGCUUUUGUUUGAAAGAUGGCUUUGGCUAUCACUCUGGGAUGGACCUGCGGUGCAUUAGCUAGUUGGUAAGGUAACGGCUUACCAAGGCGAUGAUGCAUAGCCGAGUUGAGAGACUGAUCGGCCACAAUGGAACUGAGACACGGUCCAUACUCCUACGGGAGGCAGCAGUAGGGAAUCUUCCACAAUGGGCGCAAGCCUGAUGGAGCAACACCGCGUGAGUGAAGAAGGGUUUCGGCUCGUAAAGCUCUGUUGUUGGAGAAGAACGUGCGUGAGAGUAACUGUUCACGCAGUGACGGUAUCCAACCAGAAAGUCACGGCUAACUACGUGCCAGCAGCCGCGGUAAUACGUAGGUGGCAAGCGUUAUCCGGAUUUAUUGGGCGUAAAGCGAGCGCAGGCGGUUGCUUAGGUCUGAUGUGAAAGCCUUCGGCUUAACCGAAGAAGUGCAUCGGAAACCGGGCGACUUGAGUGCAGAAGAGGACAGUGGAACUCCAUGUGUAGCGGUGGAAUGCGUAGAUAUAUGGAAGAACACCAGUGGCGAAGGCGGCUGUCUGGUCUGCAACUGACGCUGAGGCUCGAAAGCAUGGGUAGCGAACAGGAUUAGAUACCCUGGUAGUCCAUGCCGUAAACGAUGAGUGCUAGGUGUUG